GGGGAAUUUUCCGCAAUGGGCGCAAGCCUGACGGAGCAACGCCGCGUGAGGGAGGAAGGCCUGUGGGUCGUAAACCUCUUUUCUCAAGGAAGAAGUUCUGACGGUACUUGAGGAAUCAGCAUCGGCUAACUCCGUGCCAGCAGCCGCGGUAAGACGGAGGAUGCAAGCGUUAUCCGGAAUUAUUGGGCGUAAAGCGUCCGUAGGUGGUUAAGCAAGUCAGUUGUUAAAGCCCACAGCUCAACUGUGGAUCGGCAAUUGAAACUGCUUGACUUGAGUGUGGUAGGGGUAGAGGGAAUUCCUAGUGUAGCGGUGAAAUGCGUAGAUAUUAGGAAGAACACCAGUGGCGAAGGCGCUCUACUGGGCCAUAACUGACACUGAUGGACGAAAGCUAGGGGAGCGAAAGGGAUUAGAUACCCCAGUAGUC
rnacentral:rRNA from 1 species